rnacentral:tRNA from 1 species
UCCCUGGAGGACUAGUGGUUAGGCCUCUGUGCUCUCAUCACUGUGGCCAGGGUUCAAUUCCUGGCCAGGGAA